ensembl:lncRNA PVT1 Pvt1 oncogene
GAUGGACCUGCAUUCGUAUUCUGGAGCUGCCAUAUUGUCAGUCAUGUGAUCUUAACCUUGUGACUUCUAGCUGCAAUGUUCCCAUCAUGGGGUAGCAACAUCCAUGGCAGACGCUGUCUCUUGUUACCUCAAAACCAUUGCCUCCCACUGUACAGAACAUCAAUAUGUUCAAAGGGUUGGCAGGAGGCACCAAGUCUCAGGGAAGUCAGACUCUUAUCCCAACCUGGUGACUGGUUUAAACUAGAUAUGGUAAUGGCAGGCAAGUUACCCAGUCUUGUUAGGAACAGUAUGCUGAGGAGGGAGUCUCUUCUCAAAUGAAAAGGCAAAGCCCCUUACAAAGGAAGCUUAUUACUCCUUUCCUUUCUUCCUCCCUAGAUCUUGGACAUGAUACCUGGAUGUGCAGCAGCCAUCUGGUAAUUAUGAGGUGACAAGUCAAUAGACUGAGAUGGUGGAGCAGCAAAGAUAGAAAAGCAAAAUGUAAGCCAAGUGAAGAAUGAGGUAUCGUUUUGUUCAUCAAGGAAUCCACAGAAACCAGAACAUUCUGUAGCAGAAGGACAGAAUAACGGGCUCCCAGAUUCACAAGCCCCACCAAGAGGAUCACCCCAGGAACGCUUGGAGGCUGAGGAGUUCACUGAGGCUACUGCAUCUUGAGACUCAGGAUGAAGACCCAGCUUGGGGCUGUCAAAGGUUUUUUGCAUGUCUGACACCCAUGACUCCACCUGGACCUUAUGGCUCCACCCAGAAGCAAUUCAGCCCAACAGGAGGACAGCUUCAACCCAUUACGAUUUCAUCUCUGCCCCAACCACUCAGCAGCAAGCACCUGUUACCUGUCCACCCCCACCCCUUCCCCCAAACUGCCUUUGAAAAAUCCCUAACCUAUGAGCUUUGAAUAAGAUGAGUACGAACUUCAUCGCCCACGUGGCGUGGCCGGCCUCGUGUCUAUUAAAUUCUUUUUCUACUACAA